rnacentral:rRNA from 1 species
AACGUAGGGGUCGAGCGUUAUCCGGAAUUACUGGGCGUAAAGCGCGUGCAGGCGGCUGAACAAGUCGGACGUGAAAGCUCCUGGCUCAACUGGGAGAGGUCGUUCGAAACUGUUUAGCUUGAGGCCGGUAGAGGCGAGUGGAAUUCCCGGUGUAGUGGUGAAAUGCGUAGAUAUCGGGAGGAACACCAGAGGCGAAGGCGGCUCGCUGGGCCGGCACUGACGCUGAGACGCGAAAGCCAGGGGAGAGAACGGGAUUAGAAACCCCCGUAGUCC